rnacentral:misc_RNA from 1 species
GAUGAAGAACGUAGCGAAAUGCGAUAAGUAAUGUGAAUUGCAGAAUUCAGUGAAUCAUCGAAUCUUUGAACGCACCUUGCACUCCUUGGUAUUCCGAGGAGUACGCCUGUUCGAGUGUUAUGAAGCUCUCAAAACGCAAUUGGCUUAAAACCUGAUUGUUGUUUUGGAUUUGAACUUUGCCGUGUUAUAACGGCUGGUUUUAAAAGUAUUAGCUGGUACUAGAACGAAUUGGUUCUACUCAACGUGAUAAUUAUCUGAUCGUUGAGGACAUUCCUUUCACGAGGAAUGGCCAUAGUAAAUUCAAUGGACUGCUUCUAAUCUGGCUUUAAUUCUUUAUUGGAUUAACCACUUUUCAAAUCUGACCUCGAAUCAGGUGGGACUACCCGCUGAACUUAAGCAUAUCAAUAAGCGGAGG